UGCCUACGGGGGGCAGCAGUGGGGGAUAUUGCACAAUGGGGGGAACCCUGAUGCAGCGACGCCGCGUGGGUGAAGAAGCGCCUCGGCGCGUAAAGCCCUGUCAGCAGGGAAGAAAAUGACGGUACCUGAAGAAGAAGCCCCGGCUAACUACGUGCCAGCAGCCGCGGUAAUACGUAGGGGGCAAGCGUUAUCCGGAUUUACUGGGUGUAAAGGGGGCGCAGACGGCAAUGCAAGCCAGGAGUGAAAGCCCGGGGCCCAACCCCGGGACUGCUCUUGGAACUGCAUGGCUGGAGUACAGGAGGCGG
rnacentral:rRNA from 1 species